AAUGCCAGGGGCUUCAAUACUUGCUGUAAUGGAUGAAGAAAUAAAUCAGCGGUCUACUGAAAAAAUUCGUCGCCGGACAUUGAGGAACGCAUCAGAUCCUUUAUCUCACUCAAAUGCAGAAUUUAUAACUUAUUAUCGGCUAAAUAAAGAAGCUUUUGUUUUAGUUUUGGAAAAAAUUUCUCCCCACCCCAAACGUUCCAAUAUACCGGCUAUUAUCCAGCUUGCAACAACGCUUAGGUUUUUGGCUACAGGUGCAUUUCAAGGAGUUAUAGGUAGAGAUGUGGAGCUAAGCCUUGGGAGAAGUACAGUUUCUACAAUUAUGUGGAGAGUUAUUAAUGCAAUUGAAGCUGAAAUUUGUCCACAUUGGAUCAAAUUAAUAAUGUCUUCCGAAGAAAAAAGAAAGUCGAAAUUGUACUUUUUUGAAAAUUAUGAAAUUCCAGGAAUUGUAGGAUGCAUUGACGGAACUUGCCCGAUUGACUGAAGCGCUCUGUCUCAAACCAAACAAUUAAUUGUUUUUUUUUUGUAUUUCCCCUUUCUUGCUUUUUGGUCUGUCAGUUGUACAUUUCUACACCUUCUUCUUCAGCACAUAUGGCAAUAAUUCAACAAUACAAGUCUGCCGUUCAUUUCUGCAUAUUUUUUUGCGUUUUCAUCAUGGAUUAGAAAAAUAAUAGAUUUUUUGUAAAAUAAAUUCCAAAAACAUGUUCAUUCUAAGAGAAUUUGGUUAAUACAAUAUUUUCUGUUAAAUGUA